ACCUGCAUAUCGAACGGCAGGACAGGAGAGCUUGCUCUUUCGGUGGCGAGUGGCGGACGGGUGAGGAAUACAUCGGAAUCUACCCUUUCGUGGGGGAUACCGUAGGGAAACUUACGCUAAUACCGCAUACCACCUUCAGGUGAAAGCUCGGGACCUUCGGGCCUUGCGCGGAUGGAUGAGCCGAUGUCGGAUUAGCUAGUUGGCGGGGUAAAGGCCCACCAAGGCGACGAUCCGUAGCUGGUCUGAGAGGAUGAUCAGCCACACUGGAACUGAGACACGGUCCAGACUCCUACGGGAGGCAGCAAUGGGGAAUAUUGGACAAUGGGCGCAAGCCUGAUCCAGCCAUACCGCGUGGGUGAAGAAGGCCUUCGGGUUGUAAAGCCCUUUUGUUGGGAAAGAAAAGCAUCCUGUUAAUACCUGGUUGUUCUGACGGUACCCAAAGAAUAAGCACAGGCUAACUUCGUGCCAGCAGCCGCGCUAAUACGAUAGGUGCAAGCGUUACUCGCAGUUACUGGGCGUAGCGCGUGCGUAGGUGGUUGUUUAAGUCUGUAGUGAAAACCCUGAGUUUCGACCUGGGAAUUGCAGUGCUACUGUGCGACUAGUAUGUGGUAGACGGUAGUCGCAGUGCUGCUGUAGCAUUGAAAUGAUAGAGAUCAUGACGACAUCCAUGGCGACGCAUGCUGCCUAGCACCGACCCUGA
rnacentral:rRNA from 1 species